AGUCACACAAUGAAUGGAGAAAAGCUGUUGAAGUCUCAGAUAUGUGAUAGUAACAGAAGAUAAGUGUAGUGUAGUUUUCAGUCACAAGAUGGAAGUUACUCUCUUUUUCAUUUUUUUGGAUACAGGAAGAAUGUGUUCUACACAAGACCUACACAUACAUUACAUUAGAAAGAAUGAAAUGAAUCAAAGAAUGAAUUGAUUUUGUACAUCUACAGCUGAUUUCUAUGGCUAGAUCUCAACUAAACCCACUGCAAACUCAGCUAAACUUUCAAACUAUAGCCAAUUUGAAGACAGAAACAAACUCAAGGGAGAAAUUGCAACCUUGAAAAUCAGGUUUCUCUCUUCAUGGCUAUGAUGUCUCAGUUUCUCUUCCACUAACAGCUUCUGAGUGCUUCUGUUUUACCACUUAGUGGAUUCCAAAAGCGAUUAUCUGCCACAUCCGUGUUUGGAAAAUCGUUGAGAAGUAAGAAACCACCUUGGAGAUGCAAAAGUUAUAACCUACUACUUCCUCUCUAGGCGUGAAAAAUCACAUCUGAAACGUUAAACCAAACACCCCAUACAUAAUUUACAGCCUACUCAUAUCCACAUCCUUUUGCAGCUGAUUUUGCCUCAUUACCAACACAUCCAAAGCCUCUUUCAUCCAAGGAUAAGGACAUAUUUCUUUUGCCUCAGCCACAGUCAUCUGCAUGAUGCAUAUCAGUUAAACAUUAGAACACUAACAAAAUCAAAGUUAAAUGACUAAGAUAUAUUGCUCUUGAGAAAGUGAAUUUGACAACUGAAAAAUAGGUUAAACACUUACCCAUCUGCGUUUUCUUGUGUUCAUCUCUGGCCAAUUAUCCAAUUCCUUCUUAACAAGCAAAGGGAACAUGUAUCCCUCAUGCAUUAUGGGUUGCCGUUUGCUCUUGUAAUACCAUUUACCCAAAUUAUUCUGCAAGAGAACAAACAAACACCACACAUAAGGUAAGAUUCAAAGACACUAUUAUUUAAGGGCUGAAGAAAAACUCAAUCUAAAAAGUACUUGCUCACACACACUUACCUCAACACUGCCAAUAACCCCAGCUUCUUCUAUAGUCUCUCUUAGAGCAGCUUGUUCCAUGGAUUCAUCAAUUUCCCAACCUCCCUGAGACCAAAUAACACUCUAACAUCAGUAACAAGAUCAAAAAGGGUUGAAAUGAACCAAAGUUAAGCUUCAAAACAAUACAAGAUGUGGAGGAAAAAUCAAUACCUUUGGGAACUGCAUUCCAUGGCCUUUCUGAGCACUAAUCACAAGAACCUCUAACUCCUUAUCUUUUGUUCCAUUGUUCUUGUAUCUAUAAGGAAUGCACCUGUUCAUUUCCAAAAACACCCCACAGAACAAGUCAGCUUAACAACUCAAUAUACACACAGAAAAGGACAAAUUUAACUUCAAACCCACCAAACCAAAAAAAAUUAUUAUUUACAAAAAAUGUAUUUUUUUUCUGCCACCGGCCAUCAAUGAUUAAAUCAAAGACACGCUUUAAACCCUCUUCCAAAACAAAAAACAAAAAGCCCCCAAUUGAGAAAAAAAUUGAAAAUUUCAAAGCGUGUCCACCAUCUUCGACUCUGGGAUGCUGUUCUUGAAACACUCGUUUCAAAUAUAACUUUACAAAUUCAACAAGUUUAAAUUAAAACCAGUCCCUGGAAAGUGUAAAAUUACUAUGGGAGAAACAUUUAGUGAGAGAAAGAAAGAAACUAAGAAACCCCUAAAAAUCAGAACUUGAUGAAACCCCAGAAGAAGAAACAGGAAGAAAAAGGCAUGGGAAGGAACAAGAACACACC
rnacentral:sRNA from 1 species